AACGAACGCUGGCGGCAUGCCUAACACAUGCAAGUCGAACGAGACCUUCGGGUCUAGUGGCGCACGGGUGCGUAACGCGUGGGAACCUGCCCUUAGGUUAGGAAUAACUCCCCGAAAGGGGUGCUAAUACCGGAUAAUGUCUUCGGACCAAAGAUUUAUCGCCUUUGGAUGGGCCCGCGUUGGAUUAGCUAGUUGGUAGGGUAAAAGCCUACCAAGGCGACGAUCCAUAGCUGGUCUGAGAGGAUGAUCAGCCACACUGGGACUGAGACACGGCCCAGACUCCUACGGGAGGCAGCAGUGGGGAAUAUUGGACAAUGGGCGAAAGCCUGAUCCAGCGAUGCCGCGUGAGUGAUGAAGGCCUUAGGGUUGUAAAGCUCUUUUACCCGGGAUGAUAAUGACAGUACCGGGAGAAUAAGCUCCGGCUAACUCCGUG
rnacentral:rRNA from 1 species